rnacentral:tRNA from 2 species
GGCGGAUGUAGCCAAGUGGAUCAAGGCAGUGGAUUGUGAAUCCACCAUGCGCGGGUUCAAUU